GUGUGUGAUAAGAUCACCAUGGUUAGAGCAUGGUGCUGAUAACGCCUAGGUUGCAGGUUCGAUUCCAGCUGCAUA